GCGAACGCUGGCGGCAGGCUUAACACAUGCAAGUCGAGCGCCCGUAGCAAUACGGGAGCGGCAGACGGGUGAGUAACACGUGGGAACGUGCCCUUUGGUCUGGAACAACCCAGGGAAACUUGGGCUAAUACCGGAUACGUCCGUAAGGAGAAAGAUUUAUCGCCAAGGGAUCGGCCCGCGUCUGAUUAGCUAGUUGGUGGGGUAAUGGCCCACCAAGGCUACGAUCAGUAGCUGGUCUGAGAGGAUGAUCAGCCACAUUGGGACUGGGACACGGCCCAAACUCCUACGGGAGGCAGCAGUGGGGAAUAUUGGACAAUGGGCGCAAGCCUGAUCCAGCCAUGCCGCGUGGGUGAUGAAGGCCCUAGGGUUGUAAAGCCCUUUCGGCGGGGAAGAUAAUGACGGUACCCGCAGAAGAAGCCCCGGCUAACUUCGU
rnacentral:rRNA from 1 species